rnacentral:tRNA from 1 species
AAAAAAUUAGUUAAAUUAAAUAACAUUAAUUUGUCAAAUUAAAAUUAUUAAUAAUAUUUUU